UACGUAGGGGGCAAGCGUUGUCCGGAAUCAUUGGGCGUAAAGAGCGUGUAGGCGGCUCGGUAAGUCCGCUGUGAAAGUCCAGGGCUCAACCCUGGAAUGCCGGUGGAAACUGUCGGGCUAGAGUCCGGAAGAGGCGAGUGGAAUUCCUGGUGUAGCGGUGAAAUGCGCAGAUAUCAGGAGGAACACCAAUGGCGAAGGCAGCUCGCUGGGACGGUACUGACGCUGAGACGCGAAAGCG
rnacentral:rRNA from 1 species